AGCACGGCUNUAAACCGUGC
rnacentral:misc_RNA from 1 species